rnacentral:rRNA from 1 species
UGUGUAGGCGGUUCUUUAAGUUUGGUGUGAAAUCUCCCGGCUCAACUGGGAGGGAGCGCCGAAUACUGAGGGACUAGAGUACGGGAGAGGAAAGUAGAAUUCCUGGUGUAGCGGUGAAAUGCGUAGAUAUCAGGAGGAACACCGGUGGUGUAGACGGCUUUCUGGACCGACACUGACGCUGAGACACGAAAGCGUGGGUAGCAAACAGGAUUAGAUACCCUGGUAGUCCACGCCCUAAACGAUGCAUAUUUGGUGUGGGCAGUUCAUUCUGUCCGUGCCGGAGCUAACGCGUUAAAUAUGCCGCCUGGGGAGUACAGUCGCAAGGCUGAA